UACGGAGGGUGCAAGCGUUAAUCGGUAUUACUGGGCGUAAAGCGCACGCAGGCGGUCUGUCAAGUCGGAUGUGAAAUCCCCGGGCUCAACCUGGGAACUGCAUUCGAAACUGGCAGGCUAGAGUCUUGUAGAGGGGGGUAGAAUUCCAGGUAUAGCGGUGAAAUGCGUAGAGAUCUGGAGGAAUACCGGUGGCGAAGGCGGCCCCCUGGACAAAGACUGACGCUCAGGUGCGAAAGCGUGGGGAGCAAACAGG
rnacentral:rRNA from 1 species